AAGUCGUAACAAGGUUUCCGUAGGUGAACCUGCGGAAGGAUCAUUAACACGUAUCCAACGUUAAAACAACCCCCGUGAACUUUCAGCUUGCUCCUGUAGCCCGUGAAAACAGCAAUCCCUGGUAAAUCAUUGUUGACCAGCUUUUGAGUCAGGGACCUCUGCCGAUUGUGAUAUUUUAUAGCUACGGUUGAGCGAUUGCAUCUAGUGACCUGGCAUCCCCAAGUAAUCAGUGUCUGAAAGUGUCAUUGAUUAUGUAAGGAUGGCGCACCUUUACGACAACACAGUACGAAUUGGCCGCGCGUGAAAUUCGCACGGCACCAAAAACCGAACAACUGUUAACAAUGGAUAUCUUGGUUCUC
rnacentral:misc_RNA from 1 species